AUUGAACGCUGGCGGCAUGCUUUACACAUGCAAGUCGAACGGUAACAGGCCUUCGGGUGCUGACGAGUGGCGAACGGGUGAGUAAUACAUCGGAACGUGCCCAAUCGUGGGGGAUAACGCAGCGAAAGUUGCGCUAAUACCGCAUACGCCCUGAGGGGGAAAGCGGGGGACCGCAAGGCCUCGCGCGAAUGGAGCGGCCGAUGUCAGAUUAGCUAGUUGGUGGGGUAAGGGCUCACCAAGGCGACGAUCUGUAGCGGGUCUGAGAGGAUGAUCCGCCACACUGGGACUGAGACACGGACCAAACUCCUACGGGAGGCAGCAGUGAGGAAUAUUGGUCAAUGGGGCGGAAGCCUGAACCAGCCAAGUCGCGUGAAGGAAGAAGGAUCUAUGGUUUGUAAACUGCUUUUAACAGGAAUAAAGUUAGCCACGUGUGGUUAUUUGUAGUACUGUAUGAAUAAGGACCGGCUAAUUCCGUGCCAGCAGCCGCGGUAAACUACUCCGUACG
rnacentral:rRNA from 1 species